GCAGUGCUAAGCAAAUUAAAAGACUGCAAUUGGUCCCUGUAAAGUAGAGGAAGCGACAGGAAGUGACAUGGGGAAAGGAUUAUAAAAGCCCUGAACUUCCUGUCCAAAGACACUUUCUCCUUCAGACUUCUCCUUGGAGGAGUUCUGGCUUGGUACCUUGGCUUGAACUGGAAUUCUGACUCUUGGACUCCUGGUAAGACUGCUCUUGGAUCUUCUCCUGAAAAUAAAUUCCUGAAUCAUGGCUGCAAUCUAGACGCCACACGCUUCCUCUCCCCAGCACUGAAAGAAAUAGAC
rnacentral:lncRNA from 1 species